GUCUUUUUGAUAAUAAUUUAAAGUCUGACCUGCCCAAUGAUAAAUUUAAUGGCUGCGGUAAUUUGACCGUACAAAGGUAGCAUAAUCGUUAGUUUUUUAAUUGAAAGCUAGAAUGAAUGGUUGGACGAGAAAAUAACUGUCUCAAUUUAAUUGAAUUAGAAUUUUAUAUUUAAGUAAGAAAGCUUAGAUUUUUUUAAAAGACGAGAAGACCCUAUAGAGUUUAAUAUUUAAUUAAAUUUAAAAUUUAUAGUAUUAUUAUUUAUAGAUUUAAUUAAAUAUUUUGUUGGGGUGAUGGAAAAAUUUAAUAAACUUUUUUUUAUUUUAUACCAUUAAUUUAUGAAUUAUUGAUCCAUUAAUUAUGAUUAUAAGAUAAAAUUACCUUAGGGAUAACAGCGUAAUUUUUUUUGAGAGUUCUUAUCGAAAAAAAAGUUUGCGACCUCGAUGUUGGAUUAAAAUUUACUUUUGGUGUAGAAGCUAUUAGGUUAGGUCUGUUCGACCUUUAAAAUUUUACAUGAUCUGAGUU
rnacentral:rRNA from 1 species